GGUAGCUCAGUAGUAGGGCAUCUGCCUUGCAUGCGCAUGGUCACAGGUUCAAUCCCUGACAUUGCCA